GCACACUUCGGCAAUACAUUUACUAAAAUUGGAACCAUAAAGAGGACAUUAGCACGGCUCCUGCGCAAGGAUGACAUGUAAAUUUUAUGUUUUCCAUUUUACU